rnacentral:tRNA from 1 species
GCCGACGUAGCUCAGCUGGCCAGAGCACCGCUCUCGUAAAGCGGGGGUCGGGAGUUCGAAUCUCCCCGUCGGCU